CUUCUCUCUCUCUCUCUCUUUCAUGUUUCUGCGUACGUGUGUAUAAAAAAAAAAAAACGGAAAAAAUAAGAUUUCGACAUAGUUUCUAAUCGAAUUUAACAUAAAUGCAACGAGUACAAAGUGGACUGAUAAGAAAAAAAUUUAUCUUCCCUAGAGUUUGUCACUAUGCCGUGUUAUCUUACAGACAUAUGACGCACUUCCCGACGAGCGUGUUAGUCAUCGUUUAACAAUAGCUCAAAAAUGCAUAAAUUGACACAACGAAAUUUAUAUUCCCGCCAUUGAAUUACAUCCCUGAGCGUAACUCUGUCAAUGACCACGUAGCAGCGCCAGAAACACUGAGCUUCUCUCUUCGAGAGUGCCUUAUUUGGAAAUGCACACCCUGCUGGCACUCAAAGAUUAACCCUCGCAUUUGCCUUCUUCGGAGGAAUGGUCUCUCGAGCGAUCCAUUAGACCGGUUGAAAAGCGCCAACUGGAGUUGACAGAGUCGAAUUAAAUCAGCAUGGCGGAUUGCACUUGCAUUCAAAUUGUCUAAGGAAGUGUGCAUCAGAGAAUCCAAACUACAUAUUACUCUCUGAUAAUUUGAAAAACUUGUAUAGAGUGAAUAUGUCAGCUGAAGGAAUUGAAAAACGAUGGUCGUCUUUAAGAGAUAUGUUUAGUAGAGAGAAUAGGAAACAUAAAUUACAACCGUCUGGUUCUGGAUAUGAAUCUAUAAAAAAAUGGGAGUUAUAUAGAAAUAUGUUGUUUUUAACUCCUCAUAUAGCGCA